GUGAUUAGACAAGUCAGUGCAGCAGGACCUGCUCAGAGAAGAGGCAGCCAGUGUCUCCUGUCUCAUCCACCCUAAGAAUGGUCCGCAAGGCAAUGCAGCAAACAAGGUCUCUUAAAUUUGGAAGACAGUGUUUCCUUGUUCACUUUCUUUCCAUUCGCACUGGCUCUGAGAUUUCUCCCAACACAAAUAUUCAUGAGAGGUGAAAGGAGAAUAUUGAUGAAGAUUAUUUUCAUUUAUGACUGAGGAAGUAUGAAUAAACUUGCCAAUUCAUGAACACUUUCAAGAAGAGUGAAUACUCCAUCCGGUCAUGAGCUUAACAUCUUCAUGUUCAGGAGGAAUUAUGAAUAAACUUUCCAAUUCAUGAACACUUUGAAGAAGAGUGAAUACUCCAUCCGGUCAUGAGCUUAACAUCUUCAUGUUCAGGAGGAAUUAUGAAUAAACUUUCCAAUUCAUGAACACUUUGAAGAAGAGUGAAUACUCCAUCCGGUCAUGAGCUUAACAUCUUCAUGUUCAGGAGAACAAGAUAAUUAAACUGCACCUUCACGGAAAUGGAUCCUGGAGAGCAUUUAUCAAACACAGGUACUGUAAAUAUAAAACCAGUGAAUAUGGAUGUGCAGGUAUGCUAGUAGUUUGAUAUGGGUUCUUUUUGGUAUGUGACCAAGAAUGCUAUAGUUAGAUAAUGUGGUAAACAUAUUCUUAGUUUAUUUCAUAACCUAAACACUGAUUUCCAUAGUACUUAUAUCAGUUUGCACUCCUACCAGAGUUCCUCUUUCCAUGUUUCUGUGACAGCAUUGGUUUAAUUUGUAUAUUUAUCUUAGCUAUUCUCAUUGGUAUAAGAUUAUAUCUCUAAAUGUUUUUAAUUUUCAUUCAUGAGAAGUAAACAUGUUGAAUGUAUUUAUAAUACUUCUCAGCCAUUUGUAUUUCCUCUUUUCAGAAUUUUAUAUUUUGUUUGAUGGCCCAUUUUGAAAAUUCUAUAUUUUUGAGAUUAUAACUUAUAUUUCUCUAUUUUCUUCCCUCCUUCCAAUCCCUCUAAUUUUCCUACCUGCAUGAACUCAUUCAAAUCAAUGGCCUCUUUCACGAUUAGUUGUUACUGAGUGAAUAUAUGUAUAUACUUAUAUACUCAAGACCCUCUUGAAGUAGAUUGCUUUUCAUAAUAUUACAUUUUAGAAAUAAUUUGUAUAUUCCAAAAUUUCUCUAUUAAACAUAUACGUGAAAGAGAUUUUUUUUUCCAAACUAAAUGCUAUUCCUUCAAUUUAAUGAUGGUGUCCUUUGCUGUACAAAAACUUUUCAGCUUUAUGAAGUUACAUUUAUUACUUGUAGAGCUUUCUGUUUGCCAGGGUCCAGCCUCAAAACAGGAUCAGAGUUCUCAACUGGAAGCAGGGAUAUCUGGAAGGUGUAUAAUAAAUAUACACAGACUACAUUUGGGUACAAACUGACAGGAAAUUUCAAGGCUUAAACUCACUCUCUCUCUCUCUCUCUCUCUCUCUCUCUCUCUCUCUCUCUCUCUGUCUCUCACAGCUUGAGGCUACACACAUUCUGCAUUCUCUUGAGCACUCUGAAUUUUUUAUUGCAUUUUUCUUUUCUCAAACUGCAACACUUAUGCACACCUCUGUUCAUUACCCUUUCAUUCUCAUACACACUGUUGAUACACACCUCACACAUAUCUCACAC
ensembl:lncRNA